CUCCAGGUGGGGGGGUCUCACAAGAGUGAAGUCAUAGGAUCACUUCUCUCAACCUGCUGGUCACACUCUUGUGAUGGGUAUGGUUGGCUUUUGGGCUGCAAAUGCUCGUUGCCAGGUCAUGUGGAGGCUCUCAUUUAUCCACAGAUCCGAUCCAAGUCCUUCUUCUCAGGGCUGCUCUGAAUCCCCUCUCUACCCAACCUGUACUUCUGCUUGAGAUGGCCUGGACUCAGGUGUGGGACCUUGCACUUGACCUUGUUUAUAUUCAUGAGGUUCACAUGGUCCCACCUUCCAGAUCUUUCAAACCUUUGUGGCAGAGACAGAAAGGUGUCAAAGAAAUAAGACUGAGCCUGAGAUCUGGAUAAAUCAUUGAUUUCUUUUUGCUGAACUGACCUUAUCUCGCUGAAUCUGGAAGGUAGAAAACCUGGUCAUGGAGAAAGAGCCUGAAUCUUCUCUGUAUUUUUAAUAUUUUCUGAAUAUUGUUUCAUAAAAUUGCAGGUUUUGAUAUGGGAUUUUUAAUAAUUUUAUUUCAUUCUAUGGAAAAGCAGAAAGAAGAACUGUCUGAAACCAUAUAGUGUGCUUUUCUUUGUUAGGUCUGUAAGGGUACACUGCAAUGAGGUUCUGCAUAAAAAUAAUGAUCUGCUUGAAAUUUAAUGUAUGCUAGAAAAUUCAAUACAGAAAUGAUACUCAUUAAAUCAAACAAACAACUCCCCAAACCAUUUCAUGCACACACAGGUCCCUUUACCCACACCGGAUAAAUGAGCAAAGAAUCUCCCUUGCUCAUCAGAAGAAUUAAUUUAUAUGCCUCAUUUGGAUAAGAGUUACUUGGCCUGAAGGCAUUAUAAGUACAACAAUACAUAUGUUUACAUCAAGUUCCUUCUUAAAUUUUUAGAAUUCAGCUAUAAAAGGGACUUCUGGGAAUCUAGAAAUUGGUAACUUCUGCCUACCCUGUAAGAGUCUGCAAAUUCCUCAUGUCACACAAUCCACACGGAUUCUCUGCAUCUAGCCCUGCAUGACCCCAAAAAAAAGUAAAGCAAGUUUUCUCUUCCUGUAGUCUAUCUUUUCAGCUAAGAUAGCAAUGAAUUUACAGGCUACCUAGCUUAUCCAGCUAAUGUAACAGUUCCUGGCAAUUCUUUCAAUUGGUAAUGAGCAUCAUCUCUAAUUCACCUGCUGAGACCUCACACUGUCUGCCUGCCUCCUUUCCCCUUGUAGGCAAAUAUGAACCUUUAUGCAAGCAUUGGUAAUUCAGCUUUAAAGCUCAGUAAUAUUGUUCCAGGGUCCUGAUUUGGAUCUUGUACUCUUCCCUUUCCAAUGCGAACUUCAAUAGGACCACUCUUGGUUUGUACUAUACCUUCAUAAACCUCACUGACAAGAUGUGCCUACAUUGGGGUCCUGGUUUGGGGUAGGAGUGCUUUUCUGAAGUGAGCGUCUCAGGGAGACCAGAGAUGAAUUAAAUUCCUUCUGAUAAAAUCAAUCGAGGAACUCACCUGCUCUAGUCAACGGUCCAUGGGACCAGAGUAAGGCUAGGCUACAGUAAAACCCAAAAUAUGUAUAUUUGUAUAUUGCUACCAAGACUAGGCCCUCAGAACUAAAUGUUUUACCUAUAAAACUCCUUCUAUUGGCAACUCUACCUCUUGCUAAUGGAAAUGUAGCCUCAACAGCCCUCAGAUGUUUUAAUUUCUGUGCUACCUUUGUGUGACUUGUUGUAACUAAAAUGGCUAGAGGCAAAAUACUCCGUUUGAUAAAUUUAGCUGCAGUUAACAUAAGCAGUUACUGCUUCUCUUUAUAUGUUGCUGAUGUAAAAGGGAUUUUUUAGGCUACUGAUGAUGUGAAUGCCCAUAAUUGUAGUUCUAAGAGUGUGUAGGUGUAGGACUUGUAAAAAGGGUUAUGUUAAUCUGAGAAAAUAGGUUUGAAAGAAAAAUUAGGAAAGCAUGAAUCCAUUCUCUUGUCCCAAAUCAAGAAUGACUGCAUGAAAACCAUUCCUGGUCAGUAUUUGUGGAACCUAAAAAGACCUAGAUUUUCUUAUUCUAUAAUUAAAAUUGUAAACACAGUAUGCAAAAUGUUACAAUUUUUUCCUAAUAAAUAAUUUACUUUCCCCAGGAGCACAGGAGUUAAAAGAUACAUAAGCAGAGUUAUAUAAAUCCUUUUGCAGCAUUUCCUUAUAUUAAGUGGCAAUUGGAAACUUUUCUGAAUAGGAUGCCUUAAUGGGUAUGCUGCUUUUAAAUUUUUGCAUGUUUGAAUUUCUUUUGGAAAAUUUCAGCCAAAGGGAUCCAGUAAUUUUUUUUUUUGUCAUUUCCUUUCAUCAUUCUCUCUCCUUUGCUCCUUACAAACAGUAGUACCAUCACGGGAAAGGUAUUUUUAUUUUUGCCUAUGCUAUAAUGUUCUAAAAUCAUGUUUUUAAAAGUCCCUAGUCUUCAAAGUUGUUUGAAAAGUUGUGGCGUAUUUUAUUCAUUUGCUUGGGUUUUUGUUUGGUUGGGUUUUUUUGUCAUGGCAACCUUUUUCGAUCUCUGUGAAAACUGAAACUGGUGAGUACUUGGUAGAGAAUUUUUAAAUUUCCAUAGUUAAAAUAGCCAAAGAAAUUCAAAUGCCAUUUUUCUUCAAGCUGGUUUUCUUCAGACAGAUCCCAAAAUCAUACUCAAGCUACACCUGUCCCAUCCGUAUAGAAUAAUUGGAUGUGGUUCUCAUACCUCAGAAAUAACCAUGCUGAAUAACUGUUGCUGCUACAAAUUACUUGAGUAUGCUUGAGGUCAGGGCUACAGAAGCUUCAGUAGCUUUCCCUUAAUUGAUUUCUGGUGAGCCUGGUCUCUUGAAGAAGAACAAAUAAUCUUUUCUUGUUGUGGGGAGUAGAGUAAAAGCAGAAGGGGGAAAUGUAAUAAAUUCAAAGUGUGGUUAGAGAGAGACUGGGUGAGAGUCAGAAAACUGGAGAAGGACCUGGUGAAAGCAUUUGGUAAUGAAUUAGAAAGAAAAGAAAGGAAAAAAAUACUGGAUUUUGCUGUGACAUUUUGAUGAGGAACAAUGGAUACCCUAUUAUUUGGAUUGGAGUAGGGGGAAUAAAUGGGAAAUUGGAAGUCAAUUGUUCAAAAACAGAAUGAUGAGAGCAGGAGUUAGAAUGGAAGAGUUAAAGAAUAAUCUGGGCUGGUCAUUAGUAACCUAUUUACACAACAAGUUGGGCAUCUCUUGAGUGAGGCAGAAUCCUAGGCCUGAGAAUUAUGUGAGAAAACCUGAAUUUAACAUCUGCCUUAGAUUCAGCCAUACAAAGCUAAUAACACUGACCUUUUUCACAGAUGUGUUUUGGGAAGAUGGGUCAUGAAGUUUUCAAAAAUUCUAUUGAGGAGCUCUGUAGAAAGAAUUGUGAGAGAGUUCUCAUAAUCACAUAUACUGCCUAUAUAAAAAUGUUUCAAGAGUGUGCAGAAGAGAGGCAAGACCCUUAAUUGGACCCACUCCAUUCUGCACAUCAUAUCAGAGAGGCUGAAAGAAUGAUGUGUGCCUCAUGGUUCUUUCCAUCUGUCUGUUCUCAAUCCAAUAAAUCUGGACACUAUGAUAUGAAGUGGACAGCAGUAGUGCAUCACCAGGUGGCACAUCACCUACCAGGUACCACUCCCAUGCCAGUGCCUAUCCCAGUGCUUCAUCUGUGGGCAGCACACAGACUGACUGGCUGACUGGCUGACUGGCUGACUGACUCAGAUCCAUGUGCCCUGGGAGCCUGAGGUGAAGUCACAGCACAGGAGCAAGAUCCCAGGUUGUGCUGUAGAGCUGCAGUGGGAGACAAUGGGAUGUGAGCCCCUUGUGUACCUGUUACUCUGUGAGAUUUGAUCAGUGUGCACUCAGAGUGUGAUUAUGCAACAAAAUGUUGUGGUAGUUCAUACAUUUCUGGAGAGGAUGGCAGGUGAAUGAUGAUGUCUCUACGGACAGUUCUGUCAUUUCCUAACUCUGAAUUCCAGCAGCUGAAUGGCAGCUUUAAUAAUGCCCUUUUAACAAAUUCUUCUGUGUAACAUUAAUUUGAAUUUUGAAGUCUAGCUGUAAUUUGAGACAUGUAUUUAUUGAGUUUGCUUCAAGAGAAUAGGAACCUGCUUGCAAUUAAUAGGGUGUCUUUUGACUUAUUCAGUGAGGAGUAUAACUUGCCCCAAUUCUUUGUUUCUCUCUCUGCAACAAUUCCCAUACAUUGCCAUCUUUCUAGAUAUUGUAAUAUGAGAAUUAGUCCUGCAGGAAGUAUUCCCCCCCUUCCCUCCAAGCCCUCUCUCUUCCACAGCAGGGUCUGAAAAUACUAAUAGCCAAAACAGCAUAUUCAUCUUCGUACAAGUGAAUCAAAGACUUGCAAGCAAUACAGGUAGGAAUAUCUCAAAUUCCUUUCUUCUUCCUUAUGUAACUUGCUCUCUUUCUUUAAGGCAAUAGCUCUUGGGUGUGGAAAGGGAAGAAAUAAGAAGAUUGGGUUGCACUCAAUCUUGGAAAAAAUGAAAAUCUUCUUGAAUUCAGAAAUGUGUUUUUAAAUUCUGUACACAUGGAGAUUGUGAAGAGCUGAAAAUAUCAUAGACAAUGAUGAAGUGAUAGUUUGAGCUAUUCCCAAAGGCAUUGGAGAUGGGAAGCCCAGAGUUUCAGGGUAUGCUGAAGUUGGGAGGGAAUUGUGCUAGUAGUGGUCCAUGACAUAGUUUCCUUAGGGCAUAAUUAAGCUGGCACUAUCAGGAACACCAGCUAUUCAAGAAAAUUGUAAUAAUAUUUUGGUCAAAUUAAAUAGGAUUUUUCUUUCAUAUUCUUCACCUCUUUGGAUUUCUAUGCUGAAGAGUUUGUAUCCUGUCCAGUGCUGCACACUCAAGUACUUGGGAAGCUAAGAAUUCUCUGAAUUGUCUUUAUUCAACUUUGAGGAAUGCUUUUAAUUUGUUUUCUUUGAGCACUGAGAUUUUUAAUAAAAGCUUUGAAGACGAAGUGUUCACAUCUAGUGUUUCAGUCAAGAUGUCAUGUAAUGCUCUUUUUUAAGACAUCAUGGUUUUAGCUAAAUUCCUUGGUGCCUGAUCAUAGCACAUAAAAGAGAAUCAACACCAAAAAAUACGUGGCCAUUUGAAUUUCAUUACCUUGAGAGACAGGGUAAGUAUUUUACAUUAUUUCUAUUUUUUUUCCCCCUAGUACAGCUCCUAGAACCUUAGAAAGAAAUGCCCAGUGAGCCACUGUAGUGAUAUACAGCAGCUGGUAUAAAGAGGUUAGUUUACUGCAUAUAAUUAACAGUGUGCAAAUAUGCUAUUUUUACCCUUGUAAAAGUUCAUGUGGCUCAUUGGCCAUGAAUCACUGCUGAGUCCAGGGAUCUGAUUUUAGACAACAUUCUUAGAACAUGAGUUGUCAUCUUUCAUUCAUUCUCUUUCCUUCAAGUAGUGAUGGUGACUUUGUGAAAGCAAGGAAUAAUCUGGACUUCAGCCUGGGACAUAGGGGACAGCCUGUGUUUUCACAAGACUCCCAACUUUGCACCUUCAAGCACCCAUUCUCAGACUGUCCCAUAAUGCUGUUUCAAGGCCAAGAACUGAUCCAACCAGUGUUUCCUUUUGAAUUUAUAACCUCAUCUGCUCCAGUGGGCUUCCAUGACCAGUUCCUGAAGUCACUUCUGCAGAGCUCUGUGUGGAUACUGUACAAGGUUGUUCUGUAGAGCAGAGUUUUGCUUCUUUGAAGGUUCAUAUACUGUAUCCCUUGAAGUAUUUGAGACAGAGGUGGUCAACUAAGAUUGUGAUCCCUGUGCAUUCUUGGAAUAGGGAAUGUAACUUUGCCAUUUAAGUACUGAAUGUCUAAUUUUGCCUCUAAAUUUCUUAUUGAUGAGUUUUCCAUCAUAAUCUCUAUUUUUGAGAAAAAAAAAAGAGUGUUUUAGGUAGUAAUGGAGUUAGAUAUAAAUAUAUGAUUCUAUAUGGAAAAUGGUAUCUCAAAAGCUACAACAUCUGAUCAGCUGGCAGCUGCUACAGUCUGGCUGUUGCUUUGGAAGUGCUGUGGGCUUGCCAGCUGUCUGUCUUGAUGGGUUGCUGUGGGUUUUUUGGGCACUCUUGAAUGAUUUCCUAAAAUAAUUUCAACAGGUACUGCUUACAUUUUGAUUUUCUAAUACUUGCUUCUGUUCUUUAUUUAAAAGGGUGUGCACAUCUAAUGUGUUCCAUCUGAAAUGUUACCAUAGCAAAAAUAUUUACUUUUAAGUCACACCCACCUAGAAAACAAGGGUGGGCUUUGGCAACUCCACUGAAGGUUGUGGGGAGCUGUGUCCCUCAGCUCAUCUGGGGUUGCCCAAGUCAGACAGAGGAGUCCAGUAGAGACAUCCCUGAACUCCAACACAUCCCAGGACUCCAACACAUCCUAGGACUCCAACAAGUACUCACCUGACUCCUUCCACCAAACUGCAGCUGGAGGCAAUGCAGCAGAAAUGAGCUAAGUUGUUCAUUUGCUAAUGAAACACAGUUAAUUCAUUUAACCAAGUGUCACUGGGAUAAACCUGCACUUCUUUGGGACCCCAGGCUGAAACCCUGUCACUGUCUGCCCUGUGCCAUUCUGCCAUACAGGGAGGCUUGGGGCUCUGUCAGGGAUUUCGCUACCUCGGGUUAUUCUGCCUUCACAGGCCUGCUUUGGCAGCUUGAAAACACUUUGACAUUUGAGGUUUAUCAUGAGAUUGAAUUAGGGUUCACUUUGAUAGUUAAAAUAUUGCCUGCUAAUUCAUGCUGGUCAAAAUAGCAGCUCUUUCAACACUUCACCAGAAAAAUAGAAGUGAUUAUUUUUGGUUGCCUGUGUGGUUAUACAAUUGAGCUGGAGGUGCACUGCAAUCUUUUCCUAGUUUGGUAUGCAGAACAAGAUUUGAGAAUUUUUCUUGUUUUUGUUUUGUUUAAUAUGGGCCUACUAGGAAAAACAAACAAGAAAAAAUUAUAGCAGAAUAUAAGACAGACAUCUGCAAACCCUUACAAGUUUUUUUAAGUGCAAAAUUUAACCAAAACCCACUGAUAUUUUCAGAUAUCAGAGCCAGUAUUGAGACAACUUACUAUUUGAGGACAGUGAAACAGACAUUUCUUAAAAUCCAGCUUUGUAAGUGUUUUUCUCCAACUGUGAAAAUAUUUUGUUCAGAACUGUCUGGGUGACCUUUUGCCCCAUGAUAUAAAUAGUUUAAGGCUAUUUUGUUUAUCUAAGAUAUUAAAAAUUAUUUUAAUGAAAAACUAUGUGAAUUUUGAACUGGAUUUUUUCUGGUCGUUUAGAAGAAGAAAUAUUUCAGAAAAAUUAGAAAUGGACAGUGCUUUCCAGAACUUUUUAACCAUAUAUUCUUCUGUAGCCUAUUUUUGACCAAGUUUUCUAUAGACAAAUUGUGAGCAUGCCAUCCCUUGUGGCCUGACCUGUGAUUUUGCUUGCAGAAAAUGCUUUGUAGGUGAGGCACAGACUAAAAACUGGGAUUUGCAGUAAAAAAAACCCCAAAAAACAUACCAAGCCCCAUUUGUUUUCACCAGCUAUAUAAUAGUUAUUACUCCCUUUCUAAUGCAGUGUAUAAAAUUCUCUAUUAAAAUUAUUGGUGUCAAGAAGAGGGAAUGUGAAGAAUUUACUAAUAGAAGGAAACCUGCUAGUAAAGUUGCUGUCCUUGGAUAUAAUGUUUGAAUACCAUCAAAAAAGAGCAGAUAUGUUUGAACAUGAGUCUUUCAGGUGGCUGAAAGGCCCUACUUUUAAGCUGCUUGGAAUAAAAAAAGAGGAGGCCACACCUUCCCAAUCAAUUCUAUAAUGUUCUUCUCAGUCUAUCCCAUAAAUUGUAAAUAUUUAGGUGCUCAAAAAAAAAAAAAGGAGAAGAGAGACCCUUAAUUCAUCCUUAAAUAAAAAACCCUACUUUUUUUUGCUUUGUUCAGGAUCACAAAGAUUUACAUUUCUGAUUCAAAUAUAUAAUUUUUCCACCUGAUUUUUAUUUGCCAUUGAAAUUGAAAAUAAUUCACUUGAAUAGAGAGAAUCAUGGAUUUCCAAGUUUGUAUGGGAAAUUAAUUUCUCAAUAGGAAGGAUAGAUAGCACAGCAGAUAGCCCAGAUUAUGCCUGAUUUCAGAAUUAACAGGAAGAAAAAUAUGGGAAUGAAGCUUAAAAAGGGCCAUGAUUCUUCCAUCACUGAAAUUUGCACUGUCCUUAGGAUGGCCUGGGUAAAAAAAAUUUCCUAUCAAAUCCAUCUAUGAUAAUAUUUAGAAAUUUAAUAAAGUACAUUUGCAACUCAGAAAGUUCCUUUAUAACUGCAUUGAAAAAACCACAUAUCUCCACCACAGUUACAAAUAAUGUGAGAUUAUUCAAUUUCUAAUUCUUGUUCUGAAGGAUUAAUAGCACCAAACCCUAUCAAAUAAAAAUGAUUUAACCUGUUUAAUACUGGAGAUUUAAUGAAUUAUUUAUGAAAGUAAUUUCAUCUAGACUGUGCUAAGUAGCAGAAUUGUGUUUUGCUUUUUGUUUGUUUACCACUUUUUCUUCUCUUUUCAUAGAACAGCUUAUGUAAAGUAGUUCUAGAGGAAGCUUUAAAAGCAGUCUUGACUUUGUGCCACCAUCCACUGAUGAAAAGAAUGGAUAUGACCAUGGAUAAAUAAAUUCCUCUGUUACUCUGCGUGUUGUGCUUUUGUAGCACUAUCAAGUUAGUCAAACCACAUUUACAGUUAUUUGCUGCAGAAUGAAGAGUAGAGUGUUGUUUCUCCUUGAAAACUUCUGUAUCCUUUCAGUAUAUCUGAGACGAACCUUUGUCACAACAUGCCCAUAUUGUUGAAUGUUCCUCGUGAACAAAAUUAACACGGAGUCUAAAGUGCCCUCCAGUUUUGCAAAACAAGACUGAUGUCAAAUCACAUUUUGUAACCAUGCUUCAUUAAUGCACCUCUCCUACACAGACUGCAGUUUCAAAAUGGUGCUUAUCAAUAUCAAAUCUGGUUAAAUCAAAUGUUAAAACACAGCAUGGGUGUACUGGCAUUUGUCUUACAUUCAUGGCAAAGUUCCUUGUGUAAGAAAGAGCAAAAGACAAAAGAAAAUGAGGAAUUGAAUACAAGAGUUAAGAGGAAGACAACCAACCGAGGCCCACUACCUGCAGAAUAUGGGCAGUCAUACAGCUAUACAGAGUGUAUAUACAAUGGCAUGCAGGACAAAAAGUGAAGAAUAAUUGUAGAAACUACUUAUUUUGUGGCAUGUUUUGGUAGUGGGGAGCUACAGGGAUGACUCCUCUCUAGAGAAGAAUCUGCCAGAAGCUUUCCCCAUGCUUGGUGGAGCCAGUGCCAGCUGGCUCCAAGACAAGCUGCUGGCCAAGGUGGUAGAGCCUCUGGUAUAAGAGAUUCAAGAAGGAGAAGAGAAAGCAGUAAGACCAUGUGAGUGAAACAGCCUCUGGACACCAAAGUCAGUGUGGAAGGAAGGGAAGGAGCUGCUCCAGGGGCCAGAGCAGAGAUUCCCUGGCAGCCCAUGGGGAAACCUGUGGUGAGGCAGCUGUGCCCCUGCAGCCCACAGACAUCCACAGUGGAGCAGAGAUCCACCUGCUGCCCCUGGAGGGUCUCAUCCCAGAGCAGCUGGAUGCCCAAAAGAUGCUGUGACCAUGUGGGAAGCCUUCAAUGGAGCAGGUCUUGGCAGGACCUGUGGACUGAUGGAGAGACGAGCCCACACUGGAGCAGGUUUGCUGGCAGGACUUGUGAUCCCAUGGGGCGAACCCACACUGGAGCAGUUUGUUCCUCAAGGAUUGCACACUGUGGAAGGGAUCCACGGGGGAGCAGGAGAAGAGGAGUGGAAGAGACAACCUGAUAAACUGACCACAGCCCCCAUUCCCCAUGUUUCCUUCUUUCCCUGGUGAAGAGGUAGAAAAAACUCAGGAAUGAAGUUGAGCCUGGGAAGAAGGGAGGGGUGGAGAGAUGAUGUUUCAAGGUUUGAUUUUAUUUCUCAUUGUCCUACUCUGAUUUUAUUGAUAAUAAAUUAAUUUUUCCACAAGUCCAGUCUGUUUUGCCUGUGGCAGUCAUCUCACCCUGUCCCUAUUUAAAUCCACAAGAAUUUUGUUGUAUUUUCUCUCCUCUGACCAGCUGAGGAUGGUAAGGAUAGUGCAGUUUGGUUUUGGUGGGCACCUGGCAUUCAGUGAGGGUUAGCAGGUGUUCUUUUAAAAACUACAAAUAGGAAUAUCAGCUAUCCAGAUUGACUUUUCCUGUGCUAACAGGAUCUGUUCUUUUUAGACUUGUCAGACCAUCCUUGUUACAUCAUGGUUCAACCUAAUUUUUGGUGUUUUCAUCUUAAGACUGUUCAUUAAAAUAAUCCCUGAACACAGAUUAACAACUUGUUAUGAUUUUGGCCUGAUCAGCUACUUUUGUCUCUACAGAUACAGUGAAUAUUGGCAAAGUAAUACAUAUAUAAUAAAUUGCAGGAUCAGAUCAUUAAUUGCACUUUUUAUGCCUCUAAUAUGUUAUCUACUUCAUCACUCUUCUACAAACCUAAGAACCUUGGCUAGAAAAAGUUUAAUGUUCCAAGCCUCUAAGCUCUAAAUAUCUACCUAUAUAAAUUCUUUAAAUAUCUGCCUUAUCUUUAUAACAUGAAACUAGAUUGUUCCUCAGCUAAGGAAUUUUACUUGCAAAACAAGCUGGUCUUAGUAAAGAGGGACAUUGUUCAGUCAUGCAAAAGGGAUGGCUUAAAACCUAUUUAUUAGCACUGCAGGGUAAAAAAUGUGGACUUGGUAUCUCUUGACAAUAUAAUGUCCUGGAUGUCCAGCAGGGCCACGCAACUCAGCUUCUUAAUCUUUAACUGUCUGAAAGAUGGAAAAGUAAGCAGUGUUGGUUUUGAUAGGAAAAAUACCAGUUGGGUGCUUUUUUUUUAAAAUAAGAAACAUGUGAAAUACAUCUUCUGUAAUUUUCUUUUCCUCAAACCUCCUUCCAGUUAGAAAAGCCUAGUAACUUUGAUAAACCAUUUUGUCUCCAAAAUAUUCCAGCAUUUGAGCAUAGGUUUACCUCCCCUCUCCACCAAAACAUAAAAUACUGCAGCACAAGAAUUUUUAAUGCUUUCUGGGACUGUCUGCAGUAUUCCCAGCAGGAAUGUUCCUCAGGUAAUGCUCCUCUCAAAGCAGGUAAUGUUCCUCUCAAAAAAUUAUAGUGAUGAGGAAUUUGAUCAAAACCCCUUACUUUUUUACCUUAAGGGUAUAUCUGAAUGUGUAUUGCAACGUACAUACAUAUAUAUGUAAUACACACACAUAUUAAAACAGGCUGAAACUAUGACUGGAGACACAUUUCCAUAUGUUUGAAUUUGUAUAUUGAUAAUGCAAAUUCAUAUAUAUUAUUUAUUCUAUGCUAAUGAAACUCAGAAAAAAAAAAAUUCUCAGUGCCUUUAUGGUUUGUCAUAUACAAUCGGAGUGUUUCAUGGGUAUUUGAUGUUGACACCACUCCAGAAAGUGAACAUAUCUAUUUUAUAGGAAAAUUAUGUGAUCCAGAAGACUGUAUUAUAUUAAAUUUUUCUCCUGCUUUGUGGUUCCUAGGACUUGAAUUUUGGUGGUUUAGGUUAAAUUAAACUGCUUUUCAUAGUGAAUUCUGAUGUUGCUGUGAGUCAUAAGAAUUUUUUAAAAAUCUCUGCUGAAGAUCAAUGCAAGUCAGAAACAUUUCCAAUUGCUGUAGUUUAUCUUGCUUCUUUCCCUGGAUGCUUUUCAUAGACACGUGGAUUGAAGCAGGAAUGCUAUGGUAGAAAACUGAAACCUCCAUAACUAGAAGAUAGGAAAGCAGAAGAUGAUGAAUGAUGGGAGAGGUAUUGUAAAGGGAAAUUUUUCAUGGUGUUCAAGGUGGAGCUCAGAGCAAUGCCUUUUAUUUCAGUAAAAAAAAUUAAAAAACAGUCAAAUUCAGGUGAAGUUGGAGGUGGGGAUCAAAGUAGGUAGAUGGGACAAUAGGAAUAGGGGUGAGCUGUUCUACUGCAGCUGAAAGCCUUGAAAUUCUCCAAAUAGAUUUCCCAUCUUGAUAAUGAGAGGUGAGUAAACUUAGGUCAAAUUAAAGAUUCACGAUAUUUUGAGGGUAUUGAACUGAAGAAAAUAAUUGAAAAUCUCUGGAUAUUCCACUACUAGCUUACAUAUCCUAUAAUAAUUUCCCUUUGCAAACAUAGUAUUCAAAAAGUGAGAUAAAAGUUAAAGUUCAGAUAAAUGUGAAACCACCUUUUUUUUUUUACCUUAAAAAGGAAUCUUUUGUUUGAGAUGUCACUGCAGUACAAUUUAUCCUGCAUUUAUUAUAAUGUGGAUUCAGUCACAUUUCAUUUUUUACUUCCGAGAGUUAAUUAGUGUUUUAAAGUCUUUUGUAUACUUACUCCCCCAUGGCUGCAUAAUUACAGUCUAUAAUGAAUAAUCUCUGAGUCUCUGAGUUUUGAUUGGCUACCUGGCUUUCACAGUUUAACAGAUAAACCUGAAAAUAGAAAGCACACUAUUCCCACACUUUAGAAAAAAAAUUAGUUUCAUCUAGUUUAGGCCAUCUGAAAGCUAAGUGUCUUAUCUACCCUUCUUGAUAAGGCACCUCCUGUGACUGAGGAAAUUUAGGUAAUAGAUGGAACAGUUUGCCUCCAUCAGCAUCACUUUGCACACCCGAAUCAGAGCAUCACAGGAGAGAAGACCCUGCUGUCUACUGGAGAAAGAUCAGUAGUCUUCAAUAUCAAAAUCAUAUCAUUAUCAUAUAAUUUUAUCCACUAGUCAUGAAAAGGACCUUUAGCUUCUUCAGAUUAGAUCUCGUUGACUGCAGCUCCAGGUAUUCCCUGUUCUGCUGGAAAGACUGAAACCUUUGUAUGUCUGUAUAUAUCUUGAGUAUGUAGUUAAAUACUUGCUAGAAUAUCUCCCUAGAAUAAGGACAUUCAAGCACGUAUUUAAGUCUGGGGCUUUUCUGGUUUAAGGUCCAGAGUGGAAGUGGUGUGUUUUUUACAGAGCUGCUUCUCAGAACUAGAGAACAGUCGAAUAUUCAUGCCCAAAGAAAGGAAGCCUGAUUUAGGGAAUGUCUCAAGAGGCAGCCAUGCAGGGUGCAGUGCUCUGUGCAGUUCUGCAGUGAGAGGUGCUGUGCUAGAUGUUAUAUAUUAUUCCAAUUUGUGUGAGGUGGAUUCCUGGCCUGAGACUGGGCAAGGCUUUUAGUGGCCUUUUGCUCUGAUCAGAGUAGUGGUGGAUGGACUGAUCUGUCUGUCUGGAAAUGGGGUUGUUUAUAUUAAAAGUACUUCAAGGAUAAUUUGUAAAUAGGUUUAGGCAAACCAAGAGCAGUUUUUAUUCAAUAUUAUUGCUUUUAUUAAUGUGAAAGCUACAGGUCUCAUCGAGUACUGUUACUGCCUUUGUGUGAUCCGUGGAAAUUACUGAAAAUAUUGCUAGCUGAAAAUGACUUAAAUGAAUGGGCUGAGACAGGAAUUUGUAAUUUGUUUCACUGUGAAAGCAUUUUAUUAUUGUUAAAAUAUUUAAGUAUAUAUUUAUUUUUUGAUGGAAAUGCUUAGGCAUUUAUUUUAAUUUUUUCCUUGAAGAAAAUUAAAUUAUUAAUUUAAUUUAAUUUAAAAUUAAAUUGAAUUCUGUAAUUAAACCACUUUCUCUUUAACAUAUUUUUAUUGGACAUUUAAAAAAUAAAAUUGAAUAUUUAGAUUUAAAAUGUUUUUAAAUGGUUUACAAAUCUGAGUGGCACCCUUAUCUUAAACAAGUGUAUCACCAUGCAAAGAAAAUCAACUACUUCAGCCUUCAUUUUGGAGUUGUUUUGUAUUCUGAGAAUUGUGGAGAAGUGCAGCUUAUUUCAAACCACAGUUUAUGCUCUAGAGGGACUAUGAAGUUUUUCAUUUAGUUGCUUCACCUAUUUUUUUCUUCUUUUAAGAAUUGUUUUAGUGGGCGAUUCUUUGGCAAAAGAACUAAUUAAAAAGAAAUAUAUUGAUAAUACUACUUAUUCAAGUUUUAUCUUUUACUUUUUACUAGUAAACUGUGAAGAAAUUUUAAAAGGACUGUAUUGUGGAUUUUGGGUUUUUUAAAUUACUGAUAACCACAUACUCAACUGACAGCUGUAAUGUGAUGAAGACCUUAAGGAGGGAUUGUGAGGCUGAAAGACCCUUACUUUUAAAAAUAUUCCAGUUUGUGUCAUAAAAAAAAUUACUUCCACUUCUGAACCUUGUUUUUACUUAAACUUGCAUCACUGUAGAUACAAAAAUGUUACAUGGCAGAAUAUGUUUACACACAAAAAAGAUAAAACUUAAUAAAGAACGAAAACAAUCAGUGUGGAGAUCUCUG